AUGUGCAAGCUACCAAAGGAGGUGGUCACCACUCCUCCACUAAUUAGUGAACCUCCACCCAUAAAAGGAUUGAUUUCUGACCUCAGCAGCGAUACCAACCCUAAUUAUGCCAUUAGUGAAAAAUCAGCCGAAAUUGCGAACGCUGUCCGAAAUCAACCAUCAAACACAGGCUUUGUGACGGUUCUCUCCACUUUAGCACUUAUGUAUCGCCAUCAAAGGUUGGCAUCGAUCCAAUACCACAGUGCACAGCUGAAGCACGUGCAAGACAUGGCUAACAUGAGGGCACAGGUGGAGAGAACUGAGCAACUAUUGACAAAAGCAGGAAAUGAAAACAUUCUGCUAGUCAAGGAACUGCGUUUGAAAUCGGAACAAUUAAAAGUAAUUGCAAAUACUUAUGACGAUGAACGAGCACAAGCUCUUCAACAGAAUCAUAUGCUACAGGAACAACUCGAUUUAGCCAAAACUAAAUACGAUGAUGUCCACGCCAAACUAGAUAAAUCUGAAGAGUUAUCUACAAACAGGAGCGCUCAACUUGACAACAUGCACGCUGUUUUAUUGAAUGUUACUCAAAAUAACACGGUGCUCCUCAAAGCGCUGCAGAACAAAGACGAUCAGUUAAUGAACACAGUGACAAAGUUGGAUGAUAAAUCAGCAGAACUUAUUGAAGUUGCUGACCAAUUGAAUGAUGAGAGAACUCAGGUGAUGAGGAUGGAAAUAUUGAUUUCUAAGCAAGCAGAGGAAAUCUCAUCACUGAAUCUCUCGCUCCGUACUCGAGACCUCUAUCUGCAUAGCAUGACAGAUAAGUUUGAGACCGAAAGGAGCAGGUGUGACACUCACGUGUCCAAAAUUGGUACUCUAAGCGCUCAAGUGGACUCUGCAAUGCAGCAUAAGACCACCCUUAGGUACCAGCUGGAGGAAGUCCAGAAUGGGCACGCUCUACAGCAUGACUACCCAUCCAAGCAACCGGAGUCCGGUACUCAAAGGAGUGAAGACGAUAGGUUUCAGACAUUGCAUCCAUCAUGUGUCCCUCAGUCUUCUCCUCUUGGCCAUUCGGCACUGAGUAAUAUGGAGCCUCUUGGCCAACAAAGCCAAAGCUUGGCUUCUCCUCUUGGCCUUUCGGCCCCAAUUUCUCCACAGGAUGAAGCCAACCCUCUCCGCCCGCUUGGCGCGGAAUACCUUGACAAACUCGUCAAGAAUUUCCCCACCUUUGACCCAUUCCAGGUCAGCCAAACGAUACUGAGACGUUCCUAG
rnacentral:lncRNA from 1 species